AAAUUGAAGAGUUUGAUCAUGGCUCAGAUUGAACGCUGGCGGCAGGCCUAACACAUGCAAGUCGAACGGUAACAGGAAGCAGCUUGCUGUUUCGCUGACGAGUGGCGGACGGGUGAGUAAUGUCUGGGAAACUGCCUGAUGGAGGGGGAUAACUACUGGAAACGGUAGCUAAUACCGCAUAACGUCGCAAGACCAAAGAGGGGGACCUUCGGGCCUCUUGCCAUCGGAUGUGCCCAGAUGGGAUUAGCUUGUU
rnacentral:rRNA from 1 species